UGAGACAGAGAUCCACUUCAUCCUUCCAACAGGCAAGCAAGUCCAGUGGAAUUGUACCCUUCCAGUGUCCUACUGCAAAGCAGACCUUGAUGAAUCUUCGGAUGCUGCAGACUAUCUUCCAGACUCAUGUGGCAAUUCCUCGGAUGCUUCUAUUAUAAGUACUACAAGUUCUUGUAGUAAGGAAUAUAAAACCACAGAAAAGAAUCUCCACCACAAAUUGUCAGAGAACACACCAUUAGGGAAUGUUACAGCACACAGUGGGGAUAGUACCACCAGUUCAGAGAAGCCAAGAACAUUAAGUUAUUCCAAGCCAUCCUUGUACUUCAGUAAUAAGCUGUAGUGCCAAUUCAUCAGAGAACACAUCACACCAGAAAAGCUCCAUAAAUGUCACAUGUUUGUCAAUAACAGCAAAAGGAAGCAAGUACAACAAGAAGCAAUUUUGUCUUUAUUGUAAAAAGGCCAUUUAUAAAUUGGCAAGACACCUCGAAUCCAUCCACAGUGAAAAGCAUGAUGUUGCAAUGGCUUUCAGUUUUAAUAAAGGAUCCCACAAAAGAAGAGAGUUGUUACGCUCUCUUAAGAAGAGAUGAAACUUUGAACAUAAUACUGAAGUGGCAAGCUGUGGCACUGGAGAGAUGGUUGCC